CCUACGGGAGGCAGCAGUGAGGAAUAUUGGUCAAUGGGCGCAAGCCUGAACCAGCCAAGUCGCGUGAGUGAUGAAGGUCCUAUGGUUCGUAAACUUCUUUUAUAAGGGAAUAAAGUGUGGCACGUGUCCCGUUUUGUAUGUACUUUAUGAAUAAGGAUCGGCUAACUCCGUGCCAGCAGCCGCGGUAAUACGGAGGAUCCGAGCGUUAUCCGGAUUUAUUGGGUUUAAAGGGAGCGUAGGCGGCCUUUUAAGUCAGCGGUGAAAGUCUGUGGCUCAACCAUAGAAUUGCCGUUGAAACUGGGAGGCUUGAGGAUAUUUGAGGCAGGCGGAAUGCGUGGUGUAGCGGUGAAAUGCUUAGAUAUCACGAAGAACCCCGAUUGCGAAGGCAGCCU
rnacentral:rRNA from 1 species